AAAGAGAGAGAGACGGAGAGAGAGCGAGACCGAAGAGAGAGAAAGGAUGGCGGAGAAGGAGCGGCGCCGCCGCUCAAGGCGGCGACAAUAGCGGCGUGGCGGUGGUUUGUGUCUCGGUCCGACGAUUUUAAACCGCUUCAAGGCGCGAGUCGGCUCGGGAGGACUUUGGAUGUUUAUGGUCUCGUUUGGUUCGAGUCUCGGGUCAGGUUGCGGAUUAUUUCGAAUUCGGGUCAGAUCUGGUCAUGUCUUGGUUCGGGUCAGCAGCGGGUUCGAGUUAUGGUUUGGUUUAACUCGGGUUUAAACUCGAGUCAGAAUUGGUCGCGUGGGAUUCUGUUCAAUAGAUUAAUGGGUUUCGGUUCAUCUCAGUUUAGUAUGGUUCGGGUUUUUGGUCUGAGUCAGCUCGGUUAAACCGAGUUAACUCGGUUCGGACUCAGGUCAAAGCGCGUCGACUCGGUCAACACCCGAGUCCACUCGGGUCAAUAGGUGGUCAACUGUUAGUCAACAGGUCAACAGCUGGUCAACGUCAGUCAAACAUCAUCUCGGGUCAGUUUUGAGUAUGCGGUUUACUUUUGGUUCGGUCUCGAUUCACCUCAAGUUUGUUCGGUUCGACAGGUUCAGAUUCAAUUCAAAACGGGUCAGGUCAACAAAAGUCAAUUCUGGUCAAGCAGUCAACUGUAGGGUCAACUGGUCAAACAUAAGAUCCGGUAAAGUUAACGUCACGAAAUUAGUAUAGAUUUUUAUACUACGCGAACCGAGCUCGACCCGAAUCGAUUAGUGAUUAGUUACAUUUUACCUUGUCGUAUUUCGUAUAAAUUUUAGUAUAUAUUGUUUGCUUGGUGAAAAUUGUUGAAUUUUGUUAAAAAGAUCGACAGUUUGAUUGUCGGGAUCGUCCAAAAACAGGGGAAACUCUGUUCGAUUUUCGUCAAAAUACGAAAUAUCAAAAAUGAUUAUGUUAUAUAAA